GCGGGAGUAGCUCAGUGGUAGAGCUCCACCUUGCCAAGGUGGAGGUCGCGAGUUCAAAUCUCGUCUCCCGCC
rnacentral:tRNA from 1 species